rnacentral:misc_RNA from 1 species
ACGGACAAAGGGCAGCAAACUCGCGAGAGCUAGCAAAUCCCAUAAAACCGUGGCUCAGUUCAGAUCGUAGGCUGCAACUCGCCUACGUGAAGUAGGAAUCGCUAGUAAUCGCAGGUCAGCAUACUGCGGUGAAUACGUUCCCGGGCCUUGUACACACCGCCCGUCACACCAUGGAAGUUGGCCAUGCCCGAAGUCGUUACUCCAACCCUUGUGGAGGAGGACGCCGAAGGUGGGGCUAAUGACUGGGGUGAAGUCGUAACAAGGUAGCCGUACCGGAAGGUGCGGCUGGAUCACCUCCUAACAGGGAGACAACAAAAUGUUUAAUAUUAUUAUUUUGUCACCCUAGGUCGAUCGGUAUCUCACGUUCUUAACUAAUUAAGAAUUUCAUUUUCUAAGUUUUUCUAGGUCACACCCAUUAUUUUUCCUGGGCCAUUAGCUCAGGUGGUUAGAGCGCACCCCUGAUAAGGGUGAGGUCCCUGGUUCAAGUCCAGGAUGGCCCAUAUCUCUAUUUUGGGGGUAUAGCUCAGUUGGUAGAGCGCCUGCUUUGCAAGCAGGAUGUCAGCGGCUCGAGUCCGCUUACCUCCACUGAUUACCACCUCUCCCAUAAAUUUGUAGAAGGGAAAUGUUUUGAGUUGUGAUCAAAUUCUGAACGAAUCUAGCUUCCUAAUGAAAGUAUUAAGAUGCUGGACUCAUUGAAUUAAUUUCAUUGUUUUCAGAGAACCUUGACAACUGUAUAGAUUAUUUUUUAAAGACAAUAAGCAUCUUUAAUGAUGCAGAUUUAUUAUUUGUGCGAAUGCAUUAAUAACAAUUCUAUUAAGCUGAUGCUUCAAUUUUGAAGUUAUUGGUCAAGCUACAAAGGGCUCACGGAGGAUACCUAGGCACACAGAGGCGAUGAAGGACGUGGUUACCUGCGAUAAGUCUCGGGGAGUGGAAG